AAUCUAGUAAGAAAGUUACCAUUUCUUUACGUUAUAAUAAUGAUUUACUUUCACCCGACUUAAUUAAACUGAGCGACUCAAACUACUAACAGUUAUUUUUUCCUUUAGGCCUGUGCGAUGGUUGGGGCACAAAUACCAAGAUAUUGUUACCAUGACCGUUUGUCAGUUGCUGGGAACUGUCGCAUGUGUUUGGUGGAAGUCGAGAAGUCACCGAAGGUUAGUGGAGCUUGUUCUUGAGUGGCCACUAUUCCUUGCUAUCAAGGACUACACACGUACUACUGUCAUAUCUUGGCAACAAG